rnacentral:rRNA from 1 species
UACGAGGGGGGCUAGCGUUGCUCGGAAUCACUGGGCGUAAAGCGCACGUAGGCGGACUCUUAAGUCAGGGGUGAAAUCCUGGAGCUCAACUCCAGAACUGCCUUUGAUACUGGGAGUCUUGAGUUCGGGAGAGGUGAGUGGAACUGCGAGUGUAGAGGUGAAAUUCGUAGAUAUUCGCAAGAACACCAGUGGCGAAGGCGGCUCACUGGCCCGAUACUGACGCUGAGGCACGAAAGCGUGGGGAGCAAACAGG